rnacentral:rRNA from 1 species
UACGAAGGGGGCUAGCGUUGUUCGGAAUUACUGGGCGUAAAGGGCGCGUAGGCGGCCUUCUAAGUCGAACGUGAAAUCCCCGGGCUCAACCCGGGAACUGCGUCCGAUACUGGAAGGCUUGAAUCCGGGAGAGGGAUGCGGAAUUCCAGGUGUAGCGGUGAAAUGCGUAGAUAUCUGGAGGAAUACCGGUGGCGAAGGCGGCAUCCUGGACCGACAUUGACGCUGAUGAGCGAAAGCUAGGGGAGCAAACGGG